rnacentral:rRNA from 1 species
CAGCCGCCGCGGUAAUACGGAGGGUGCAAGCGUUAUCCGGAUUUAUUGGGUUUAAAGGGUCCGUAGGCGGACUUAUAAGUCAGUGGUGAAAGCCUGUCGCUUAACGAUAGAACUGCCAUUGAUACUGUAAGUCUUGAGUAUAUUUGAGGUAGCUGGAAUAAGUAGUGUAGCGGUGAAAUGCAUAGAUAUUACUUAGAACACCAAUUGCGAAGGCAGGUUACCAAGAUAUAACUGACGCUGAGGGACGAAAGCGUGGGUAGCGAACAGGAUUAGAGACCCCUGUAGUCCCUGUCUCUUAUAC